rnacentral:tRNA from 1 species
UGCGGCGUGCCCGAGCGGUCUAAGGGUGAGGGACGCCAAAAGCCGGAUAGCGCCGGACCGUGGGUUCGAAUCCCACCGCCGCAU